CGCUUGAAGCCUUCACUGCUUCCUGUGAGUGUCGCACGAACAUCCUCGCCGGCAUGCUGGGAGUUGUAGUUCUCGGGAUGGACUCUCGCCUUAGCCCUCAACUGAAGUCUCUGACCCGAGGCAGGACGAAAGAGCCCCAGAUGCUUCUACUCCUGAGUCUCCGGAAUGCGCAGUUUGAAUUUGGGAAAUUUGAUUUAACUCUGUGGACACAACUUGUGCAUAAUUUGCAAAGGCCCCUCUGCUGUCCAAGACAGUAGGCAUCUUUGAUACAAAGGUUAUAAGAGUCCUUGCUCUGGGGGAAGCUAGCUGCCUUGGGAGGAGCUUGAGGGAGAGCUCCACGUGGCAAGGAGCUGAUGCCUUCAGCCAACAGCCAGCAAGGACCUGAGUCCUGCCAGCAAUCAUGUGAACAGACAGAGAGAAAGCCAAGGAAGGAAGAAGCUGAACAUCAGUGGAACCUGGAGGAGAAGGGAGAGACCAGGAGACGCUACCAUGUGCCUUGCCCUGUGACCAGCUAGAGACCCAGAGGUGCCAGCAGCCAGCCCCAGCACUUCAGAGUCUAUCGGAAGAAAACAUCGCCUUGAUGACGCCUUGAUUUGUACUUUUUCCCAGUCUCAAACCAUGAGCGAAUAAAUCCUCGUUGUUUAA